GCCUCUAUGGUGGAAUUGGUAGACACGAUAGACUCAAAAUCUAUUGCUGCAAAGCAUCUCGGUUCAAGUCCGAGUGGAGGUACCA
rnacentral:tRNA from 1 species